rnacentral:lncRNA from 1 species
GUGCUGAGUUUCCUCACAUAUCAACAGAGUACUGAUAUCACCAUUUCUUUUCAGAAAGCCAUCUCCUUAAAAAAUAUGAAAACCAUUGGCAUUUAGUCCUGAUAUAAAGAAGAACUUAUAUUUGUGUAGCUUUGGUAAAUACCACUGAAUCUGAAUGCCAGUCCCCACCUGUCACUCUCAAGACACAGUUUAGGAACAUCCUGCAUCCCUGAAACACCUACUUCACUCUCUCUACUAUCAAAAUAACACUAUGCGGUUUGAGGUUACCUAGAUGAUGACACCUCAUGGCUAGACAGCCAAAAAGGCAGGAUUCAAAGGGAUUUUCUGAUCCCUACCAGGUGCAGCAGACCUGGAGUGAUAACAUUCACUAUGAAGAUAACUGCAGCUUGUCCUGGAAAGGCAGAAUUUUAAGUGCAAACCCACUUACAUCUGCAAGAGAAAUGAGGAACCAACUUCACAGUACUCAGAAGACCAGAUAA